GACGAACGCUGGCGGCGCGCUUAACACAUGCAAGUCGAACGGAAAGGCCUGCUUUCCCUUGUGGAUUGCGGGUACUCGAGUGGCGAACGGGUGAGUAACACGUGAGUGAUCUGCCCCCAACUUGGGUAUAAGCCUGGGAAACUGGGUCUAAUUCCCGAUAGGACUGCAGGGUGGUGCCUGUGGUGGAAAACGAUUUUCUAGUGGUUGGGGAUGAGCUCGCGGCCUAUCAGCUUGUUGGUGGGGUAAUGGCCUACCAAGGCGGCGACGGGUAGCCGGCCCGAGAGGGUGGACGGCCACAUUGGGACUGAGAUACGGCCCAGACUCCUACGGGAGGCAGCAGUGGGGAAUAUUGCACAAUGGGCGGAAGCCUGAUGCAGCGACGCCGCGUGGGGGAUGACGGCCUUCGGGUUGUAAACUCCUUUCGACCGCGAGGAAGCCACCUGGUUGGAAGGGUGGUGACGGUAGUGGUAGAAGAAGCACCGGCUAACUACGUG
rnacentral:rRNA from 1 species